rnacentral:rRNA from 1 species
UACGGAACAACAGUUGGAAACGACUGCUAAUACCGUAUACGUCCUCCGGGAGAAAGAUUUAUCGCUGAUAGAUGGGGCCGCGUUAGAUUAGCUAGAUGGUGGGGUAAUGGCCUACCAUGGCGACGAUCUAUAGCGGGUCUGAGAGGAUGAUCCGCCACACUGGGACUGAGACACGGCCCAGACUCCUACGGGAGGCAGCAGUGGGGAAUAUUGGACAAUGGGCGCAAGCCUGAUCCAGCCAUGCCGCGUGAAUGAUGAAGGCCUUAGGGUUGUAAAAUUCUUUCGCUAGGGAAGAUAAUGACGGUACCUAGUAAAGAAGCCCCGGCUAACUCCGUGCCAGCAGCCGCGGUAAUACGGAGGGGGCUAGCGUUGUUCGGAAUUACUGGGCGUAAAGCGUGCGUAGGCGGACUAUUAAGUUAGAUGUGAAAUCCCGAGGCUCAACCUCGGAACUGCAUUUAAAACUGGUAGUCUAGAGUUCUGGAGAGGUAAGUGGAAUUCCUAGUGUAGAGGUGAAAUUCGUAGAUAUUAGGAGGAACACCAGAGGCGAAGGCGGCUUACUGGACAGAUACUGACGCUGAGGCACGAAAGUGUGGGUAGCAAACAGGAUUAGAUACCCUGGUAGUCCACACCGUAAACGAUGAGAGCUAGUUGUCUGCAAGCAUGCUUGUAGGUGACGCAGCUAACGCAUUAAGCUCUCCGCCUGGGGAGUACGGUCGCAAGAUUAAAACUCAAAGAAAUUGACGGGGGCCCGCACAAGCGGUGGAGCGUGUGGUUUAAUUCGAAGCAACGCGCAGAACCUUACCAACCCUUGACAUCCUUGGACCGCCAGAGAGAUCUGGUUUUCUCGUAAGAGACCAAGUGACAGGUGCUGCAUGGCUGUCGUCAGCUCGUGUCGUGAGACGUCGCGUUAAGUCGCUUAACGAGCGCAACCCUUGUCCUUAGUUGCCAGCGAGUAAUGUCGGGGACUCUAAGGAGACCGCCGGUGUCAAACCGGAGGAAGGCGGGGACGACGUCAAGUCAUCAUGGCCUUUAUGUCUAGGGCUGCACACGUCAUACAAUGCAACAUACAAAGGGCAGCUAACCCGCGAGGGGGCGCAAAUCUCAAAAAGUGUUGCUCAGUUCGGAUUGUAGGCUGCAACUCGCCUACAUGAAGCUGGAAUCGCUAGUAAUCGUAGGUCAUCUAUACUACGGUGAAUAUGUUCCUGAGCCUUGU